CAUUGGGUUUAAUACCAAAUCAGUCAUGGUUUUUAAAAAAGCAACAAUUCAAAUUAUAUUGUUUGGAUGACACUUAAACUAGCUUUUGGAAUCUAGAAAGCUGCGCAAUUCAAUUCUUGUUUGGAUGUACAAAAGCAUGGCAUUGGUAUUUGUUCUCCACCCAGCCGAUCAGGCAACAACCACCACUCCUCAAGGCGUAAGUACGACUCCUCCCUACUACAACAUUGAUUUCUCCUCUACCCCACCACCCACCUCACCAAUUGGUGCGCUAUCAAGCAACAGCGUACCCCUUCCU
rnacentral:lncRNA from 1 species